GUUUUCUCUUCCAAAACAUCCAAUAAAAUUGGAACGACAGAGAGAAGAUUAGCAAGGCUGUUGAGCAAGGAUGACUGUUCUCAGUCUCAGCCAUGUGAAAGAGGUUU